rnacentral:rRNA from 1 species
CUACGGGAGGCAGCAGUGAGGAAUAUUGCACAAUGGGGGAAACCCUGAUGCAGCAACGCCGCGUGGAGGAUGACGCAUUUCGGUGUGUAAACUCCUUUUAUAUGUCAAGAAAAUGACGGUAGCAUAUGAAUAAGCACCGGCUAACUCCGUGCCAGCAGCCGCGGUAAUACGGAGGGUGCAAGCGUUACUCGGAAUCACUGGGCGUAAAGGACGCGUAGGCGGGUUGUCAAGUCAGGUGUGAAAUCCUACAGCUUAACUGUAGAACUGCACUUGAAACUGGCAGCCUAGAGUAUGGGAGGGGGAGAUGGAAUUAGUAGUGUAGGGGUAAAAUCCGUAGAUAUUACUAGGAAUAUCAAAAGCGAAGGCGAUCUCCUGGAACAUUACUGACGCUAAGGCGUGAAAGCGUGGGGAGCAAACAGGAUUAGAUACCCUCGUAGUC